GUGGGGAAUUUUUCGCAAUGGGGGAAACCCUGACGAAGCAACGCCGCGUGGAGGAUGAAGGCCUUCGGGUCGUAAACUCCUGUCAACCGGGACGAAUGCAGUUUGGUUUAAUACACUGAGCUGUUGACUGUACCGGUGGAGGAAGCCACGGCUAACUCUGUGCCAGCAGCCGCGGUAAUACAGAGGUGGCAAGCGUUGUUCGGAAUUACUGGGCGUAAAGGGCGCGUAGGCGGUUUCGUAAGUCCUGUGUGAAAGCCCCCGGCUCAACUGGGGAACUGCACGGGAAACUGCGAGGCUUGAGUUCGGGAGAGGGAAGCGGAAUUCCGGGUGUAGCGGUGAAAUGCGUAGAUAUCCGGAGGAACACCGGUGGCGAAGGCGGCUUCCUGGACCGACACUGACGCUGAGGCGCGAAAGCUAGGGGAGCAAACGGGAUUAGAAACCCCGGUAGUCC
rnacentral:rRNA from 1 species